UAUUCUAGUCCCACUCGUAGAGAAACGAGUUUGUUGUCGAAUGACGGACCGUCGACGAGCGGAACUGGCCCCAGAAAACAGCUGAAAAGGAAUCAGAAAACACAACCUGCUAAAGCACCACGCAAGAAGAAGAGCAAGUCUUCCAAGUCCGAGAGUGUGUCUGCGAGGUAUGUCCUUACUAAGUAGAAAUCUAAAUCUAUUGUUGA